rnacentral:snoRNA from 1 species
GCCUCUUAUGAUGAUUAACAUUAUACUUUCGUUCUUCCGAGUUGCUCCGUGCGGAAAUAUUUUUGGAACUACUGGAGGC